AUUGAACGCUGGCGGCAUGCCUUACACAUGCAAGUCGAACGGCAGCACGGGAGCAAUCCUGGUGGCGAGUGGCGAACGGGUGAGUAAUAUAUCGGAACGUGCCCAGUCGUGGGGGAUAACGCAGCGACAGCUGUGCUAAUACCGCAUACGAUCUACGGAUGAAAGCGGGGGAUCGCAAGACCUCGCGCGAUUGGAGCGGCCGAUAUCCGAUUAGCUAGUUGGUGGGGUAAAGGCCUACCAAGGCGACGAUCUGUAGCUGGUCUGAGAGGACGACCAGCCACACUGGAACUGAGACACGGUCCAGACUCCUACGGGAGGCAGCAGUGGGGAAUUUUGGACAAUGGGCGCAAGCCUGAUCCAGCAAUGCCGCGUGCAGGAUGAAGGCCUUCGGGUUGUAAACUGCUUUUGUACGGAACGAAACGGUGAGCUCUAAUACAGUUUGCUAAUGACGGUACCGUAAGAAUAAGCACCGGCUAACUACGUGCCAGCCGCCGCGGUAA
rnacentral:rRNA from 1 species